GACGGAAGGUGCAAGCGUUGCUCGGAAUCACUGGGCGUAAAGGGUGCGUAGGCGGCCGUGCAAGUCUGGCGUGAAAGCCCCGGGCUCAGCCCGGGAAGUGCGCUCGAAACUGCGCGGCUCGAGUGCCGGAGGGGAGAGUGGAAUUCCUGGUGUAGCGGUGAAAUGCGUAGAUAUCAGGAGGAAUACCGGUGGCGAAGGCGGUUCUCUGGGCCUGUACUGACGCUGAGGAACGAAAGCGUGGGGAGCGAACAGG
rnacentral:rRNA from 1 species